rnacentral:tRNA from 18 species
GCCGUUGUAGCUCAGUUGGUAGAGCGUAUCCUUGGUAAGGAUAAGGUCACCGGUUCAAUCCCGGUCAAUGGCUCCA